GGUUGCGAUCAUACCAGCACUAAUGCACCGGAUCCCAUCAGAACUCCGCAAUUAAGCGUGCUUGGGCGAGAGUAGUACUAGGAUGGGUGACUCCCUGGGAAGUCCUCGUGUUGCAACCC
rnacentral:rRNA from 1 species